UAUUCUCACUCUGAAUAAAUCUGUCGCUUGUCGUACAAUCUACCACCUUGUCUGAAUCGAUCCUUAACCGGCUCACCCUUCUACAUAUCCUUUUAUCAACAGAAUUUGGUAGCAGAGGAUGGUUUAAUAACGGUCCGGUCGAAGAGAGUUGAUUGGGUGUGAGAAGGAGAGUGACGGAAGGACGGUUGUAGGAAGACGGGUGAAGGAAUUCGGGGGAGGACAACAAUUCUGCUCAACUCGGGAAACUGAUCUAAAAGGUGCACUAUAAACAAGGUAAGCAAAACCUGUUAAAUCAAACUUUGCAUAUUGUCGUAUAGUCUGUCUAAAUUUUGAUCAGUAUUUCCGAGUAAGUAUGAAUUCUUGUGUAAAUUUAUAAUUUGCUGACAAGUUGAAAGUACAGUGAAGUGAACAUAUGUGGUACAAACCGGCGACGGCCGGGUGAUUAAAUCAUUGAUGAGAUAUCAGUAAGGGGGUAGUUAAUUACUAUUCAUUAAAUCUGGCGCCGAGGGGAUAAAUUGUAAUUUUGUCCCGUGACCCGGUCAGCACAGUCUGAUAGCUUUCAAUGAUGAGGUAUCACUUUUGAGGCCUGGAUUAGUUCCGAUAGGGGUCAAUAACAGAUCAGUAAGUGAAUAGUUAAUUACUAUUCAUUAAACCUGGCGCCGAGGGGACAAAUUGUAAUUUUGUACCGAGACUCGGUCGAAGUCCAGUCUGAUGGUGUUGAUUGAUAGGGGUCGGACACGGACAUGGAUUUGGAUAAGAUAAGUUCCGAUAGGGGUUAAUAACAUGUCAGUAAGUGAAUAGUUAAUUACUAUUCAUUAAACCUGGCGCCGAGGGGACAAAUUGUAAUUUUGUUCCGAGACUCGGUCGAAGUCCAGUCUGAUGGUGUUGAUUGAUAGGGUCGGACAUGGAUUUGGAUUCAGCACGGUAGAGAUUAGGGAUAAAAAUCAGUAAGGGGAUAGUUAAUUACUAUUCAUUAAACCUGGCGCCGAUAGGGGAAAAGAUUGGCAACUUUGUCCCGCGACUCGGUCGAAGUCCAGUCUGAUAAGUAGUCCAAAAGAUAGGCUGAUAAUGUUUAGAGAGAACACGUGUAUUUGUAACUGUUCAUAUAAAAUGUAAUGUGGUUGUAAUCAUCUCCAUCAAGAUUGUUGAUGGUUUGAGAGAGAGAGAGAACUCAAGAAGGGUUAUUGGAUAAUCCGAAACUUAUAUGUUGUAUGUAAACUUCCAUGUUGUAUGUAAACUUCCAUGUUGUAUGUAUCUAUAACUUCUGUGUAAAAUGUAUAAUCAGGAACAAAAUGACUUAUGUAUAAUUGAAAUAAGAUCUGAAUAUAAUAAUUAAUAUUGUGACUAUAUAGUCGAAUAGAUCCCUUGGUUGCGCGCUCCACAAAAGCUAUACCAACCCAAUCGUUUUUCUCGAACUGAAUAUUCAAGGGAAAGCUCUGAGAUAAGGCAGAGUGUGAGCAGUAGUGUCUCCUCGAAUACAUCGUUGUUAUUAACUAACGACGGGCUAAGCAUAUUCUAAUUAUAUUAAAGUAGUCUGGUAAAAUUUCCGAUUAAGUUACGAUUAAUUUCCGAUUGAAUUAAAAUUGAAUUACGAUUUAAAAUUCACAAUGGCGACCCCCAAUACUCCAAAGCUGAAGUUUAAUGAGUUCCUAGAUAAAAAAAAAUAGAAUAUAGAUCAGGGGGAAAGAGACAGUGGAAGGAUAUAAAGAAAGUCUGGGAGGGAGUAAAGUUAAGAUGGACGCAAGCAGGUUACCUAGGAGGGGGACGGCCAACCGGGGUCCAGUUGAAAACAAUGGAAUGUGGGUUAAGGGAGACGAUGCAGGAAGCUAGAGACAAGGAAAUAGGAAGAAACAAGGCCCAUUUAUUGAGGAACCAAGGGACCAAACAGAGAGAGAGAGCAGAAGAGGAACUAAAGAUAGGAACUUGGGCCAUAGAAGAAGCGCAGAAAGCACAACUAAAAAAAAAAAUAUCCUGAAAUGAUGGGGGUUGCCACUCCCCCACGAGGGGCAGAUGAACAGACGAGCUACCACCAGGAGAUGGCGCCAAAUCCCUCUACAUGUAUAAUUACUAAAACAUACAAUACAUGACAAACGGUGACCCUGACGUGGUCUGGUAAAAAGAUAUCGCUGGACAUUGGUGUGCCAGCCGAUUGGCCAGUACUGUCGUUGGACGGUGUGUCUCACAAAUCCUGACCGGUCAACUAAAAAAGGGUAAGCAGACACCUGUUGUGGAAAACUAAAGUUCUGCACAUUGGAGUUAUACAAAUUUAGUUUUGUGAGACACCUGUUUGAUGUAAGUUACUAAAUUUAAACUAUUAUGAUGUGUGAGAUUGGAAAAUAGUUGAGAAAGUAAUAUCUCCAUUGGCAACUGCAAUUUUAUUAUUGAUCAACCAUACUUAAUGGUGCAUUGUGUAUGGGAUGUACUAGUAUGCCUGGUUGGUAGGUGGUAACAGAGAUCACUUACCACGUGUAUGAAUGAUGGGUAACGGGUGGCCACCAAAGCUUGAAUGGAUAGUCUGGGACUACAUGUAUGAGUGGUGAGCAACGAGUGAUCGCCAAAGUGCGAAUAGAAAGUCAUAUGAUGCGAACGUGAUGUAUUAGGCAGGGCCAAGUGUGAAUGACGGAUAUUUAAAUUGAUUACUCGGACUUGAGAUCGAUUUAGCCGUAGGGAAAGGGUAUCAUUUGGGUUUCAGUAAAGACAUUGGUUGUUGGCAGUAUUGUAGUGUACAUGGAAUAUCGUUGGAAAUGGAAAAGGUGUAGAGAACGCCGAAGUCCACUCUAGAUUUAAAUAAAGGCAGAGAGGGCAAAGAGUGGAGGAGACUGGGUGAGAAGCUGUACAGAGAAUGGACAGAAGGUGGGGCUAUUGCAUCUCCUACUGGUCUGCUUGCUGGGGAGAAUGAAGAUCUGUGUGUGUCUGGUGUAAAUUGAAGUUUACUGGCGUAAAUGAAGAUUUGUGAGACUCAAAUCGUGUGCAUGAAAUACGUUUGAUAUUCAGUCGGGGACUAAUAUCGGUAUGAAUGAGGUCGGGGAUUUUUAUGAUAAGAAUGUUGAAAAGUAGCAGGCUUGCUGAUGAGAGUAAUAUCAUAGAAUAUUGAGGGGGUGUGCAAGACUGUUGGAAAAGGUGUUCAACUCUAUUAACGUAAAAUUCUGUGUGUAGAGUUAUAUUAUGAAGUUUGGAUUAUACUAAAAUUGUAGAAUUACAUAAUCAACAUCUGAACAUACUUACGAUAAACAUUAAUUGAGCCACUGAGUAAUAGAUAAGAUAUACACUAGGUACGGGGCGACGGGUGUGGUCGAUGUAAGACGGGAGUGGUGUUCUAACCAAGUGAUGAGAAAUAAGGUAGAUUUAUUUUGUUCUUUUAAUUAGUUUACACAAGUACUCCCCGGUUAUUGAUUUUGGUUUGAUUGUUCAGAUAACACAAAUGAAAUUAAACAGGAGGUUAAGAUAGACUAACAUUAGAAUCUGUUUUCAUUAUGGGGUACAAUGAAAGGCCCGCAGAGGGGAUUGCAGACUGAGGUUUUUAUGUUACAGGGACAGUGCACAAUUAUCACAGUUGUGUGUGUGUCUAAUGGCUGGGGAUUUAAGAAGUAUUUUUGGGGAGACAAUUUGGAGAAACAUGAAUAAAACAUGAAACACCAAGACAAAUUAUUUGAGUAUGAGGGGAUUAUCAUAAUUAUUAGGUUUUGUUUUUGUAGUAAACGUCUGGGUUAAGGGGAUUUUCACGCACUGCAAAGACCUUGAAAGUUGGAGAGAAGUGAGGAGAGUUUUGGAAGGGGGGCCAGAACAGGCAAAGAUAGCAGUUGCUGAGUGGAGACAGGGGGGAGAGUUGGACAUGUAGAAAAUGUAGGGGGAGCUCCUACAGGAUAAUGUCAGAACAUAUGGAUACUAUACUAAUCUUACCUAAGUCAUUAUUUAGAGUAGGUAAGGUUGAUACCUGGGCAAAGCCAGAUAUCAAAAGGGGGAUGGGUGUAAAUUGUGGUCUAGGAUAGGAUGGGGACUAUUGGAUAAGAAACUAAUAA